rnacentral:rRNA from 1 species
AUGUACAUUCCUACAACAUAGCCUUAAUGCACCAGAUUCCAUUAGAACUCCAUAGUUAAGUGCACUCGGGCUAGAGUUGUAUUGGGAUGGGUGACCACCCGGGAAUUCCUAGUGUUUUACAUG